rnacentral:lncRNA from 10 species
GUUAACAUCAUAUGAUCUAUAUGGUAGAAGGAAGAAUAACAAAUGAUGAAUAUAGUGAAUCAUACCUCUAGCAGGGUAUAGGGACAGAACCAUCCAAGCAUAAUUAUUUUCUUGGUGUGUUUGAAACAGUUUUUUGAAGCAAAGUAUAUCAAUAUAUAGGGAUAUAUUCAAUAUUAUGUAUUUCAGAUGCUUAAGUAUAAAGCUGUGUAUGAAAGUGUGUUUGUCAGGGGAACAAUAUUAUUAUUAACAUACACUUGAAGAUACAUUUUGAAAAUAAUUGCAAUCUGCAUAAUUAUUUAUCUCCAGUGUACACUGCCAUGGGGGACGCUAUCUAGUCUAAAAUUACAGAGUCGAAAAGAUAGUGAUGAUGGUCCCAUCAUGUGGGUUCGUCCAGGAGAACAAAUGAUCCCUGUGGCUGAUAUGCCAAAGUCACCUUUCAAAAGGAAAAGAACUACCAAUGAAAUAAAAAAUCUUCAGUACCUACCUCGAACAAGUGAGCCCCGUGAGAUGCUCUUUGAAGACAGGACAAGAGCUCAUGCAGAUCAUAUAGGACAAGGUUUUGAACGACAGACUACAGCUGCUGUUGGAGUGCUGAAGGCUGUGCACUGUGGAGAGUGGUAUAUAUAACUACCGCUAUUUUAAUGAAAGAAUUUCUU